rnacentral:rRNA from 1 species
UACAGAGGUCCCAAGCGUUGUUCGGAAUCACUGGGCGUAAAGGGCGCGUAGGCGGCUUUGUAAGUCGGGGGUGAAAGCCUGUGGCUCAACCACAGAAUUGCCUUCGAUACUGCAUGGCUUGAGACCGGAAGAGGUAAGUGGAACUGCGAGUGUAGAAGUGAAAUUCGUAGAUAUUCGCAAGAACACCAGUGGCGAAGGCGGCUUACUGGUCCGGUUCUGACGCUGAGGCGCGAAAGCGUGGGGAGCAAACAGG